rnacentral:rRNA from 1 species
GAUGAACGCUGGCGGCGUGCCUAAUACAUGCAAGUCGAGCGAACAGACGAGGAGCUUGCUCCUCUGACGUUAGCGGCGGACGGGUGAGUAACACGUGGAUAACCUACCUAUAAGACUGGGAUAACUUCGGGAAACCGGAGCUAAUACCGGAUAAUAUAUUGAACCGCAUGGUUCAAUAGUGAAAGACGGUUUUGCUGUCACUUAUAGAUGGAUCCGCGCCGCAUUAGCUAGUUGGUAAGGUAACGGCUUACCAAGGCAACGAUGCGUAGCCGACCUGAGAGGGUGAUCGGCCGCACGGGAACUGAGACACGGUCCAGACUCCUACGGGAGGCAGCAGUAUGGAAUCUGCCGCAAUGGGCGAAAGCCUGACGGAGCAACGCCGCGUGAGUGAUGAAGGUCUUCGGAUCGUAAAACUCUGUUAUUAGGGAAGAACAAAUGUGUAAGUAACUAUGCACGUCUUGACGGUACCUAAUCAGAAAGCCACGGCUAACUACGUG